UGUCAAAGGGAUCGAGUAAGUGAUGU
rnacentral:piRNA from 1 species